UCAGAGCCUAAGCAUAGUCAUAUGGGAAAACGUCAUCUUUCAGACACCCUGGACUAGAGCUGUAUAGUGCUUUGAAUCAGCACUUUGAAUUAUGCCCCGACAAAGACUGGGAUCCAGUGAGGCUGUUUCAACAGAGGAGUCGUGUGCUCUCUGUAGGCAGCUCCAGUCUGCAGUCUGGCAGCAGCUCUCCAAACCAGCUGGAGUUUCCAAACACUCUUCAGAGAGAGCCCUGUGUAGUAAUCCCAAUGGGAUGUAACUAAGGCAUAUGUCACUGUGUCCAAAUCAGACAGCUCCAGGAAUGGGCACAGCUGGCACACUAGUUUAAGCUGUGCAAAUGCACUUCUGGCCACUGCGAAAACCUGGGAAUCCAGGCUCAGGGUUGAGCCCAGAGAACGUCUAAGCUGCAUAUCCCACAUGAUGCAUUUCAGCUUAGCACAGUUUAAGGGACAACACCUCAUAACAAGGUAGAAAGUCUACUAGUAUGCAGGCCUUUUGAGGCGCAAAGCAGUUCUUAAGGACUGCACUCCCAUUGUCUACUGUUCAAAGCAUAAAAAUACACUGAAGUGCAUGACAGCACAGUGAGAUACCUCACUGAAGCAAGCGUUAUGGUGGAUACAAUUUGAGGGUCUGGGCAACGUACCUUGUGUGAAUACUGUGACUUAUUCAUGUAAUCCACUGUAAGCCUGUCAGCUUCCGUGGUGACUUGUCACUCAUCCUUUACCAGUGAGCUUGACCAUGUGACCUCUAGGACUGAAUGACUCCGAUGGAAUGAGGAGCCUUUCUGCAGUAGCUCCUCCCAAGAUAUCACAUGUGUAUUAGUCACCAAGAGAAAUCCCAGCAACAUCUGCAGGUUGUGGAGUCAGUAUGGCAAAUUUCAUAUCUUUAAAUGGGUAGUAGGAAAUGAUGAGUCUGAAGAACAAAAUACUAAAUUGAAGCACAUGAGAGAGACAAGACUAUGAAAACCAUCUAUUUAGCACUAUGAAGGCACACAAGUGAGGAUGAAGGAGAGAUUUUGACAAGAAAUGUCCUGUCCAAAGAAGGAAUGCUAAUCUCAUCCUUUCCUGGAACAAUUAGAACCAAGUCUCCCACCUCUGCAGCUGGAACGCUUGAUGAAAUCACCCCCAUCUGCACCUUCUCAUGGAAGAUAUCUGUGCGUGGGGAUCACGCUUGCUAUAUUAUAUUACCUCCAGGAUCAGAUGCAAUGUGCACACUGUGCAUUGCUGGCACAGGCUGGUUCAAACAAGUGAUGCUGCCAGUCUGAGGAGAACUUUUGGGUGGUACUGGAGAGAUGCUUGUUGCCUGCUCACUGCAAGGGCUAUGCAGCAACAAACUCCUCUGCGCCACCGUCUGCUGGCUGCAAAGGAAACGCUUGCUGGUGUGUUCGUGUCCCCUGGAAUUAGGCAGCAGCCUCUUGGUGGCUCGGUGACCCUAGUGCUGGCAAACUGUCCUGGAAAUGACGACCGGGGGGUGGGGGGGAGGAAGCAGUGGUGACGCUCCAGGGUUGUUGAUCUGCAGUUUAGCACUGAUUCACCUCUGUUCAUAUAGUCUCCAUCCAACAGGCAAGCAGAAAUGUCACUGCUGCCAUUCCCACAACUGUCAAGCAGGUUGCAGAUACAUUACUUCAUUACUCCACAUGCAUCCAACUUUCAACAAAAAAUAAAAUCACCACAAAGAAUGCAUUUGGCUUGCACCCUACUGACUAUAUAACAGAAAUACGCAAGCAAAAGGACCCUGAGCUCACGAACUUUAAGGUAGCAACUGGUACCCUGGAUGUCAGUGAAUGGGUAAACAGUAAAAAAAGAAAUGAAAUGCAGAAUCCAUUUUUUAAAAAUGGGAUUAUACCAAUAAUGCCAUGGCUGGUCAAGCCAGGGAAGGGUUGCUUGAAUGAGAAUGUCUGCAGCAGACACUGAAAACAAAACAAAGACCAUGCCUGCGUGACCUCAACGAGAGGGGCAAUUCAUGCAGCCGGUGCACCAAGGACUGUAGCCAAGGUGGACACCACAUGGAUCACUGGUCCAUGCAGAACACUUCCAGGAACACCUGAACUGACGACCUCACUGAGAGGGCAUGCUGGUAGCAGACUGCUCACUUUCAAGCUACAGUGCUGUUGUCAGGACAAACUAGUUAAGGAUUAUAAAGCUCUUUGCACACCCAAGAGUGCUGUAUACCUAUUAUUGUUACUCUAGUUGCUUGACUAGAAUCUUCAUUGAAAUGGAAAAGUAUUGCCAGUCACUGCUUAAAGACAUUUUCCAAUAAUACCAUACUUUUGUCUUUUAACUACAUUAUUUAAUAAUGUGAUUACAUAAACAAAAAGGAUGGGUAGAACAUAAGCCACAUAAUGUAUAGUAAAAUGACAGCAACUGUACCCAAAUACAGUAGACUUUCAAUUGAUUGGACUUCAAGCAACCAGUACUCUCAAGCAACUGGGAAAAAAUUGAAUAAUACUUUAAAUAAUUAAAAGAAAAUCAAUUUCCAGCAGAAAUGUAAGUUUAAAUAUGGUGCACCAUGCACCAUGUCAUGCCCACAUGCCACACCCUGUGCUGUGAGUAAGCUCACAUGUUUGUGUCCCAGUCCUGCCAAUUCGCCAAGUGUAAACAUGCCAGUCACUGGAAUCUAUUGUUAUUCAAAUUUUGUGUUCUCACCCAACCCCAGGUAUGCUGAAACAGGUCCUAUGUAACUGUAAAUGCAGAGUGCUUACCUCAAGCAGAAGAUGGAAAUAUGCAAGAGGCUUGAGAAAGGCAAGAGUCAUGCAAUGCUCAUGCAGGAAUUUAAUGUCAAUUCGCCAACAAUCUAUGACAUUACUGCCCAGUCUCAGAACACAGAAGUUUGUCUUUAUUUGUCUUAAUUCGCUUUUAAUUACUGUAUUUCAACAUUAAUAUCAAUACAUUGGGUAUGGUAUGGUAUGGGGUACAGUAUCAGGCCUAUUUUUUAAUAGUAACUCUCAAGCAACCAGAACUACAUUUAUCUGGCAUCUAACAAUCCUCAUCAGUGCCAGUUAACUGAGAGUCUACUGUAUAAGCUUGUGCAUGUGAAUGUUAUUGCCUUGAGUCUCCUCUUCCUUCAUCUGUUGUAAAUUCAGAAGCAAUCCAACUGAAUCCAGCAGUGUUUUGUUGAUUUAUGCAAGAGGAUAAUGAAUAUUUCAUUGAUCUCCUCACAGUCCCAUGGAAUCUCUGUCUUUCAAAAGUACAGGAUUCUUGACAUGUCAUUUUUAGUUUUGAAGAAGCAGAUCUCAAAAAAGAAACAGGACUGCACAUCUGAAUAUGCUGGACUGAUCUUCUGCCGCACAAACCAAAGACCAAAUGCCUCAUUUAAGAAUGCUUGGAAAGUAAGGAGGUAGAAGACAAAAUUAUACAGCACUGCUUUAUCUAGGAAUUGCUCCUGAAUCUGUAGAAAACUCUAGCUAAUGGGUCCUCGAACUAUGGCCCACAGGCCAGAUACAGCCCACCAUGCUCAUUUAUCCGGCCCGCCUCAGAGCUUUUGGACUUGCUCGGAGAAAACAAUCUCUGGAUGAGUCCAAAAGCUCUGAGCUGGUGCAGGCGUUC